UACGUAGGGUGCGAGCGUUAAUCGGAAUUACUGGGCGUAAAGCGUGCGCAGGCGGUUCUCCAAGUCCGUUGUGAAAGCCCCGGGCUCAACCUGGGAAUGGCAGUGGAAACUAGGGGACUGGAAUCUGGCAGAGGGGGGUGGAAUGCCGCGUGUAGCAGUGAAAUGCGUAGAGAUGCGGCGGAACACCGAUGGCGAAGGCAGCCCCCUGGGCUGAGAUUGACGCUCAGGCACGAAAGCGUGGGGAGCGAACAGG
rnacentral:rRNA from 1 species